GAGAUAAAUCGAUUGAGAGCGGCUAUCCUACCAGUUAGGCACUAGACAUCCUUUAUAGACCUUGGGGGUUCAUCUGCUGGAUAGCUUUGAUCUUUUUUGGGUUAGCUUCAAUGCCUCUGUGCAAGACCAUGAAGUCAAGAAAUCAUUCAGAGGUGACACCAAAUGCACAUAUCAUCAGAUUCAAUUUCAUUUGACACCUUCGGAGAGUGUCAAAGUUUUCUCUAAGGUCGGCAAUAUGGUCUCCCUAUUGAAAAAUAUGUCCUAAAGCCAAUCAUUUAACGAUUAUGCUAAUUAUAAAUGUA
rnacentral:lncRNA from 1 species